UCCCGUUGAUCCUGCGGGGGAUUGCUGCUAUUGGGAUUCGACUAAGCCAUGCAAGCUCUGGUGGCAACACCGGCAGACUGCUCAGUAACACGUCGUUAACUUAACCUUAGGUCGGGGAUACCCUUGGGAAACUGAGGUUAACACCUGAUAUGAGAUUGGUACUGUAAUGUUCUUUCUUUGAAAAGCAAUGCCUAAGGAUAGGACGGCGACCGAUUAGGUUGUUGGCGGGGUAAUGGCCCACCAAGCCUGAGAUCGGUAGGGGCCUUGAGAGAGGGAGCCUCGAGAAGGGCACUGAGAUACUGGCCCUAGCCCUACGGGGUGCAGCAGGCGCGAAACCUUUACAAUGCACGAAAGUGUGAUAAGGGAAUCCCAAGUGCUUGUAGUUUCUACAAGCUUUUGCCAAGAGUAAAGACCUUGGCGAAUAAGUGGUGGGCAAGACUGGUGCCAGCCGCCGCGGUAACCCCAGCGCCACAAGUGGGAAUCACAUUUAUUUGGCCUAAAGCGUUCGUAGCCGGUCUGGUAAAUUCCUUGUGAAAUCGCUCUGCCUAACAGAGCGGCGUGCAGGGAAGACUGUCAGACUUGGGACUGGGAGGAGUCAGAAGUAUGCUUGGGGGAGCAGUAAAAUGCUAUAAUCCCUUGCGGACUACCUGUGGCGAAGGCGUCUGACCAGAACAGUUCCGACGGUGAGGGACGAAAGCGAGGGGAGCAAUCCGGAUUAGAUACCCGAGUAGUCCUCGCUGUAAACUCUGCGAGCAAGGUGUUGCAUAUUCUUCGUGGAUAUGCAGUGUCGAAACGAAGGUGUUGAGCUCGCCGCCUGGGGAGUACGGUCGCAAGACUGAAACUUAAAGGAAUUGGCGGGGGAGCACUACAAGGGGUGCGGCGUGCGGUUUAAUCUAAUUCCACACAGAGAACCUCACCAGGGGCGACGGCAGAAUGAAGGUCAGGCUAAAGACCUUACCUGACAAGCCGAGAGAUGGUGCAUGGCCGCCGUCAGCUCGUGCUGUAAAGUGUCCUGUUAAGUCAGGCAACGAGCGAGACCUGCGCUUACAAUUGCUAACGAGUUCUUCGGAAUGAUCGAGCACAUUGUAAGAACUGCCUUGGAAACGAGGAGGGAGGUGCAGGCUACGGUAGGUCUGUAUGCCUCGAAUCCCCUGGGCUACACGCGCGCAACAACGGUAGGGACACUGGGAUACAACUCCGAAAGGAGAAGUUAAACCUCUAAACCCUAUCUAAGUUCAGAUUGAGGGCUGCAACUCGCCCUCAUGACGAUGGAAUCCCUAGUAAUCGGACUUCAACAUAGUCCGGUGAAUACGUCCCUGCUCCUUGCACACACCGCCCGUCAAUCCACUCGAGCAGGGUCUAGAUGAGAUCUAGCUUUCUUGGUUAGCGCGAAUCUAGGCUCAGUGAGAUGGGAUAAGUCGUCACAAGGUA
rnacentral:rRNA from 1 species